AUGGCCUAACUGGGGGCACAUAACAUAACAUAACCUAAUCCUAAUUUUUACAUUUGUAAAGAAUAUCCUGUUUGUUUUUAUUGUCGAUUGUGCAGCGAAAUUGUGUGCAGCAAAUCAAAUAUAAAGUAGUUUAUCGCCUACAGAACUGAAUUAGUCCAUAGCAGUUAUCAGUUUUUCUUUCUUGGGAAGCUUAUACAUGUAACUUGUAUUGUUGUAAAUUGUGGGAGUAGGGCAGACAGGGAAAAGUCUUAUUUUGUACUGUUCCCAAGGCUCCCCAUGCAAUACAUUUAAAUGAAUUAUCCAAACAAAGCCGGGGACAAUGGAUAAAAGCCACAAGAAGAGCAGAUAUAAGGGAACUAAAAUUAAAAUAUGAAAAGUAAACAUUUUAUAAGUGGAACAACCACCAGAUAUUUAAAAGGUAUAAAAAGAAGAAACUGCUGGAAUUUCAAAACAAAUGUGUUUGACUAGUAAAGAUUUGGAUAAAUAACAGGAGUUACUUUGGGCUAUAGCUACGUGCAGAUUUAUUUCCUUGUGGCUUCCUAUGUUAAUUCUUAUUAAUUAUACACUUAAAUAUGUUUUUAGUCUCAGGAAGAUUUUAUAUUUGAUUAUUUUUGAAUAAACAUUAUUAUUAUUAUUACCUUAAUUUCCAUUAAAUAAAUUAACUGUAAUCAAUAAAGUAAUCGUUUAAUUGUUAAUAAAUUAUCAAGUAUGA